GAUCCCACUGAUAACAGAAAUAACCUAGUGGAGGAAAGUGUGAGAAAAAAUAAUCCAGAGGAGAAUGUGCCUUUGAUUUGAUGAGAAUAGGUGUUCCCUGACUCCAGACUGUGACAUUAUCAACAUUGAAAAUAAAAAUAAAAAAUCAGAUUUCUCCUGAUGUGAGUCUCUAAACCCCUGAAACCCAUACAAAACUCGGAAAAAAAUUUGGACACGAACUGGGGUCCUCUGUCAGAGACCAUGUUCUCGAGAGGCCAUGUAAGCGAAAGACGUGAUCAGCGCUGUCUACGCUGUCUAGCUGAGGGUAAUUUGGGUAAAAAAUGGAUAAGGGAUAACGAGUGCCGCCUUCAAGAAUCGGUCCACCACGGUUAAAAUGACUGUGUGACCCUGGGAGGGCAGUGAUAAAAUCUAGAGCGAAAUGGGACCAGGGUUUCGAAGGGUUGAAGUAACCCAUCUUGGGGUCGAUUGGAAGUCUUACCAGUGGCACAAACCGAGCAAGCCAAAACAAAACUGGGAAUGUCACGAGCCAUGAGUGGCCACCAGAACCGUUGCUUGACUAAAAAACUAGUGCGAUUAACUCCUUGAUGACAAGCCACGUUGGAGCAAUGACCCCACUGAAUGACGUCAGACCGUAAUCCCUCCGGCACAAAUAAACGAUUCGGCGGGCCGUCGGGCGGAGGCGUUACCCCUUCCAAGGCCGUUAUAACCCUCGAUUUGACCUGCCAUACGAGUGUGGAGAUGUUACGACCCUUAAUCUAGUUCAGCUCGUUUUAAAUUCCACAAUAGACCAGGACCGAACAUAUCAGAAAUCACAGACGAUUGGGUAGCGUUUCUGGUGUUAAACACCAUAAGUUUUAAUAAGAGAGACCAAGCACCUUGAGAGAUGAGCAAACAAUAAAUCAUAUAUUAACCAAAAUGAAUAACACAGGUUGGGCAGCUAAAGGAAAAACAGAAUAAUAUGGAAGAUGAAAAUAGAUUUCAUAAAUUUGAAGAGAGGAUGUAUAUUUCAACAGUAGCCUAUAACUCUGCCUAUUAUCUCUGGCUGCGUGUCUCGACCACGGAUUAAUAAAAAAAGUGUACAAACUUCUUGGUUACACAGAUAUAUGGUGUAUAUUAUGAGGUUAUUUAACGCAUGAUCUAAAAAAAUAGCUCUGAAUAAACAACAACAGAGCAGAAGCGCUUGUCGACCUACGCGAGGAAUACGCAUCAGGUCUGAACAGGCGCAGGGCCGCGCGUGAUUUUCCGUUCCGCGCCGUAUCCGCGUCGCUUCAGCGUCCGGUGUGAACCCGGCGUAACGCUGCCAACAACUCUCGGUUACCAAUGUCAUAAUUACGUUCGGCAUGGGACAAA